rnacentral:rRNA from 1 species
UGGGCGUAAAGCGAGCGCAGGCGGUUUUUUAAGUCUGAUGUGAAAGCCUUCGGCUCAACCNAAGAAGUGCAUCGGAAACUGGG